rnacentral:rRNA from 1 species
AGAGUUUGAUCCUGGCUCAGGAUGAACGCUGGCGGCGUGCUUAACACAUGCAAGUCGAACGAACCUUCGGGUUAGUGGCGGACGGGUGAGUAACGCGUGAGAAUCUGCCCUCAGGAGGGGGAUAACGGCUGGAAACGGCCGCUAAUACCCCAUAUGCCGAGAGGUGAAAUGAAUUUCGCCUGAGGAUGAGCUCGCGUCUGAUUAGCUAGUUGGUGUGGUAAAGGCUCACCAAGGCAUCGAUCAGUAGCUGGUCUGAGAGGAUGAUCAGCCACACUGGGACUGAGACACGGCCCAGACUCCUACGGGAGGCAGCAGUGGGGAAUUUUCCGCAAUGGGCGCAAGCCUGACGGAGCAACGCCGCGUGAGGGAUGAAGGCCUCUGGGCUGUAAACCUCUCUUAUCAAGGAAGAAGAUCUGACGGUACUUGAUGAAUAAGCCACGGCUAAUUCCGUGCCAGCAGCCGCGGUAAUACGGGAGUGGCAAGCGUUAUCCGGAAUUAUUGGGCGUAAAGCGUCCGCAGGCGGUCUUGAAAGUCUGUUGUUAAAGCGUGGAGCUCAACUCCAUUUCAGCAAUGGAAACUAGAAGACUAGAGUGUGGUAGGGGCAGAGGGAAUUCCCGGUGUAGCGGUGAAAUGCGUAGAUAUCGGGAAGAACACCAGUGGCGAAGGCGCUCUGCUGGGCCAUAACUGACGCUCAUGGACGAAAGCCAGGGGAGCGAAAGGGAUUAGAUACCCCUGUAGUCCUGGCCGUAAACGAUGAACACUAGGUGUCGGGGGAAUCGACCCCCUCGGUGUCGUAGCCAACGCGUUAAGUGUUCCGCCUGGGGAGUACGCACGCAAGUGUGAAACUCAAAGGAAUUGACGGGGGCCCGCACAAGCGGUGGAGUAUGUGGUUUAAUUCGAUGCAACGCGAAGAACCUUACCAGGGUUUGACAUCCUGCGAAUCCCUUGGAAACUUGGGAGUGCCUUCGGGAGCGCAGUGACAGGUGGUGCAUGGCUGUCGUCAGCUCGUGUCGUGAGAUGUUGGGUUAAGUCCCGCAGCGAGCGCAACCCACGUCUUUAGUUGCCAGCAUUAAGUUGGGCACUCUAGAGAGACUGCCGGUGAUAAACCGGAGGAAGGUGUGGAUGACGUCAAGUCAUCAUGCCCCUUACAUCCUGGGCUACACACGUACUACAAUGCUACGGACAAAGGGCAGCAAACUCGCGAGAGCUAGCAAAUCCCAUAAACCGUGGCUCAGUUCAGAUCGUAGGCUGCAACCCGCCUACGUGAAGGAGGAAUCGCUAGUAAUCGCAGGUCAGCAUACUGCGGUGAAUACGUUCCCGGGCCUUGUACACACCGCCCGUCACACCAUGGAAGUUGGCCACGCCCGAAGUCGUUACUCCAACCCGCAAGGGAGGAGGAUGCCGAAGGUGGGGCUGAUGACUGGGGUGAAGUCGUAACAAGGUA